CAAUCCGCGUCCCGCCAAGCCCUGCUUCCAUUGAAAAUGGCUCUGUUCCGAAGGUAGCAACUAAGUGAGUAUUACCCUUAUUAUGUGAGGCUCAUCUUGAUGAAUUUUUUUCAUAUCCAUGCCUUCCAUCCGUUUCUUCAGAUCAUUUAUUUAAAUUAUAAAAAAAUUUAAGCAGAUUAUAAUCUCAAGUUUACCACACCACUGGAUAAAAUGGUGAAUAACCAUUAAAAACUUUUUGUAGGCCACAAAAGUUUUGGAUCAAGCUAAUAAUUAUAUUUUUCCUUCAUCCAUUUCUAUUUUAUCUUACUAACAGGUUGGAUGUAAAAUAAUCAUUAAGUAUCUUCUUAGUGGGCCUUGGGAAUGUUUUAAUGGUGAUCUCCCAAUCAUCAUUAUUUCUUGUGGUGUGGUUCACCUGAGAGUUGGAUAUUCUUAAUUUUUGGGGUCAUAUUCUAAACUUGGAUUUAAAAAUGGAUGGACUGAUUGGAUAUAUAAAAUAUGAUCAAGGUGGCCCUACGGUAAGGGUAACACUGACUAAACUGUUACCUACACCUAAUCCGCGGUCUACAGAGAAAAGGAAAGACAUUUUUUCUCGAAAAGAGUCCUUGGUUUUCUUCUCAUAACCCGGCUGCUAUCCCUUCCCCUCUGGCUUCUUCAUUUUAACAGGCUUUCUUCUUCACAUCUCAGAAUCCUGAUGGCAACUGAGACUGAAGAGAACCAGAUCAACCCUACGGAUGCCGUUCGUAGGAACGGAAACGUCUGCGGCCGAGCUGUGAGUAUAAGUAGGAUUUUAUAUACAGUGGGGUUUGUCAUAGCAGCCAUCAGUGGAAGCAUGCUCAUCAGUAGCCUAAUCGGGCCGCAGUUUAGGCACCAAAUCUUUUUGUGUUUUUCCGGUUUCAUCGUGGGAUUGGUGCUCAUUUUCGUGGGGGUGAAUCUCUGAUAAGCACCCGUUUUUCCUACCUCACCACCCUCAGUGGUGAGAUUUGAUUGGUGGGUCAUAUGGUGUUUGAGAGAAUUUGACAUUGGGAUUGAAUUCUCUGUUCUUUUAUUUUAAUUUAAUAUUGGGAUUGAUCUGUUGAAUAUGCUGAAUGUAACACUCACCACAUGUAAUUCCACAUGGAUUCAAUUUAUUUUUAUUAGCUAUUUUCUCUUAA